rnacentral:lncRNA from 1 species
UGCACUUUGUACAGAAAGCUGUGAACUUUAGCCUAUCCCAAAGGAACCCAGCCUCCUCCUCCAGAUUGUAUCCACCUCUCAUUCUUAUUCUUCCCCAAAUCCUCAAUUGAAGAUUGACCAUGCUCUGGAGAUUUUCCACUCAUUCUUUUGAAUUUUUCAUGAAGGAAGUAGGAAGAAGUUAAUAGAAUGUCUGAAGUGUGUGCAGCUGCAUUGGGGCCUGGAGACAAUGAGCACUCUGCAGAGAAUAUUCAGCCUGCAUCUCACGCUGGAGGAAAGAAAGAAAACAACUUGCUUUGACACCACAGUUGAUAGCAUCAGUGCAGCUCAAGUACAGACCCUUUCAUUUGCAGAAAUCAGAUCUCAGAGGAGGUUGAGAAGAUUCUUCCUUGAAAUUCUUGGUCUUGCUAGCAAGCAUAGCUAAACAGAGGCACCAAGGAGAUCAUUCCAAGACUAAAGACAGCAUCAGUGUGAC